GAGUAGGCUAUGAUGAUCAAAUCUACCUAUUUGCUGAAAUCUGUGAUUAAUACAUUUAACCAAUGGAUCCUUCUGAGCCUACU